rnacentral:sRNA from 1 species
UACUAUAUGAUAAGAAAAAACAUAUAAAAUACAGAUUUGUAAAUCAUAAAUAUAUUAAAAGCAAUUACUCUGUUAAAAAUUCACCAACCAAAAAAAUCAUCAACUAACCAAACGCUGUCACGACCGGGAAUCUUUAAAUUAUUAUUUCAGAACCGGUUUUUCAAUUAAUUUACAGUUUAAAUUUAUUUUUAAUAGUUUUUAAUUAAGUUAAUAGCCCUCUUUAAAAUACACUAUUGGACCCCACAAAAAAAAUACAUCCUUGGAAGUGGUCUUAGUUUUAUCAUCUAAAAGAUAUGAAUUUGAUUUUGUAAAGGUUACAAUUAUUUCCAAGAAAUGUAUCAUAGACAAGUUGGAGGAAGAAGACGAAACGAAUCAGGUAAAUUGAAAUUAAGAAAGCUAUUAAGGUAAAAUUAAAAAAUGGGUAGAUUAGAAGUAGUUGUCUUUUCAUAAAACCCAAUAGUACUUGAAAUUGUUAG